rnacentral:misc_RNA from 1 species
GGAAGUAAAAGUCGUAACCAGGUUUCCGUAGGUGAACCUGCGGAAGGAUCAUUACUGAGUGAGGGCCCCUCGGGGUCCAACCUCCCACCCGUGUUUAACGAACCUUGUUGCUUCGGCGGGCCCGCCUCACGGCCGCCGGGGGGCAUCCGCCCCCGGGCCCGCGCCCGCCGAAGCCACCUGUGAACGCUGUCUGAAGUAUGCAGUCUGAGACAAUUAUUAAAUUAAUUAAAACUUUCAACAACGGAUCUCUUGGUUCCG